rnacentral:rRNA from 1 species
AUUGAACGCUGGCGGCGGGUUUAACACAUGCAAGUCGAGCGGAGAUGAGGUGCUUGCACCUUAUCUUAGCGGCGGACGGGUGAGUAAUGCUUAGGAAUCUGCCUAUUAGUGGGGGACAACAUUCCGAAAGGAAUGCUAAUACCGCAUACGCCCUACGGGGGAAAGCAGGGGAUCUUCGGACCUUGCGCUAAUAGAUGAGCCUAAGUCGGAUUAGCUAGUUGGUGGGGUAAAGGCCUACCAAGGCGACGAUCUGUAGCGGGUCUGAGAGGAUGAUCCGCCAAACUGGGACUGAGACACGGCCCAGACUCCUACGGAAGGAAGCAGUGGGGAAUAUUGGACAAUGGGCGGAAGCCUGAUCCAGCCAUGCCGCGUGUGUGAAGAAGGCCUUUUGGUUGUAAAGCACUUUAAGCGAGGAGGAGGCUACCUGGAUUAAUACUCUAGGAUAGUGGACGUUACUCGCAGAAUAAGCACCGGCUAACUCUGUGCCAGCAGCCGCCGUAAGAC